AUGGGUGAAACAGGAGGAUUUUAUUUAGGUGGCCACCGGCCUAGUGGGUUAAUAUUCAGAGGCUGAUAAAUGAACAAAGGCCAGGCUUAACUUUUAUUCAGGCAACUGAAGGGGAGUGGCUAGCCAGUGGCACAAAACUUGCAGGGUGGGGAAAGCAAGCUUACAGAAGCAGAACAAAGGCAGUUAACUGUGACAGGUUUUGCAAUUCAGGCAUGUCUUGUGACCUUUGCCAUCCUGCGACUGAAGGGGAGUGGCUA
rnacentral:lncRNA from 1 species